UCCCUGGUGGUCCAGUGGCCAAGACUCAGGGCUCCCAACGCGGGGGCCCAGGUUCCAUUCCUGGCAAGGGAA
rnacentral:tRNA from 1 species